AGAAAAGCAGCAAAGCCCUGGGUAAUCAAGGCCCUAAACGGAAAGUGUCAGGAUCUUGGGGAUCGUAUUGUAUAAAAUGGAUGAAAACAGAGCUAUUGGGUUUGAAGCACUCCUGAACCCUCUCAUGGAACCCUAUGUCUUCCUGGAGUCUACAGAGCUAUUGGGUUUGAAGCACUCCUGAACCGUCUAGUAGAACCCUAUGUCUUCCUGGAGUCUACAGAGCUAUUGGGUUUGAAGCACUCCUGAACCGUCUAGUAGAACCCUAUGUCUUCCUGGAGUUUACAGAAAAAGAGACUCAGGGAUUUUCCCAAAGCACACUGCAAGUUAGGGGCAGGAAUGACAGCCCAGACCUUCUGGUUUCCAGUCCAGGGCUCAACUGCCUAAACAGUGGCAUCUCUUCAGGCAGGCCCUGUCAGAGGCAGCUCCCAAGUUGUGAUGUUGCCACCAGUAUUAGAACACAGUGGUCUCCAAAAUCUUGCCAAUGAAUCCUCCAAGUUUCCCCCUCCAGAAAUCAAGAGAAACCUUCUAAUAAAACUUUGUUAUCAAACUGAGUUUUAUUUGUGAGGAUGCCUAAAAAACAUGCCUAUUAAGAAGUGAAGAUGCUGGCCCCAAGAUUCCGUGUAGCUUGCCAGUGAGUGGGAAGAUUGGCCCGGGACCCUGGCUGAUGGCCUUUCCACUAUAUUGCAGCAUUGAGCAUGCAAAUAACAUUGAUUAUAUAAGGGCCUUUGGUGUAAAGCAUGUAAAAUAAAUGUGACAAGCAAUGCUGGAUGAUAAAUGCUUAUUUCCUUACUUUCAGAAAGUAACUAGAGGGCUCAUGCCUUAAAAAAAAAAAAAACUUACCAGAUAAAUAUGAACUAAAGCCUUCAUUUUCUGAGUGGCAAGGAAAAAAAACAAUUUUCAUUAAGAAUUCUUUUUAAUUUAGCCAGUAGAGAUUGAGAUUUGGAGUUAUUUGCCUCUGAUUCUUGUCUAGUUUCAGGCCAAACACUAGCUAGUUGCUAGGACCUUGGCCAAGUCUGCAGUCUCUUUGGGCUCAUUUCUAUAAUCGUAAGAUGAGAGUUAGGCCCAGGAUGUUGUAACACUGCCCCUUUUGAGGUUUUCCCCAAAGGGCAAAACUGACAGACUAAGGGGAAAGUCAAAGAAAAGAAAAACAAAAAUCAUCUCCAAAGAUGCUAGAAAAAAAAAAAGAAUAGCGUUAUUUACUUGCCAUAGUAAGGAUGGUGAAGUACUCACAGCAGGCAAUAGUGGCACAGAAAUUAACUUGGUAUGGCGUCUUGAGUUCAACCUCUAGUUGGCUACCUAAUAGACACGUACAUAAAUGUUUUUGUUUUAGGACAGGGUCUCACUCUAUCACUGGGGCUGGACUGCAGUGGUGCAAUCACAGCUUAUCACAGCCUUGACCUCCCGGGCUCAGGUGAUCCUCCCACCUCAGUCUGGCAAGCAGCUGGGACUACAGGCGUGCAUCACCAUGCCUGGCUAGUAUUUUUGUAGAGGCAGGGUUUUGCCAUGUUGUCCACUGGUCUCAAACUCCCGGGCUCAAAAGAUCCACCUGCCUUGGCGUCCCAAAGUACUGGGAUUAUAGGCGUGAGCCAUGGCACAAGGCUCACAUACAUAACUUUGAGCUAAUAAUUUCAUUUCUUUUUUUUUGAGACGGAGUCUCGCUUUGUCGCCCAGGCUGCAGUACAGUGGUGUGAUCUCAGCUCACUGCAAGCUCCACCUGCCGGGUUCACGCCAUUCUCCUGCCUCAGCGUCCCGAGUAGCUGAGACUACAGGAGCCUGCCACCAUGCCCGGCUAAUUUUUUUUGUAUUUUUAGUAGAGACGGGGAUUCACCGUGUUAGCCAGGAUGGUCUCGAUCUCCUGACCUCAUGAUCCGCCCGCCUCGGCCUCCCAAAGUGCUGGGAUUACAGGCGUGAGCCACCACACCCAGCCAUAAUUUCAUUUUUUUCUGAUCAGAUGUUCUGUCACUUAAGGGCACUUGAGAUGAUUAAAUAUGAAUGUGCAUAGUACAUGACCAGGUAUCCAAAAAGACUUCAAUAAACCUUGGUUCCUUCUAACUAAAAGGGCUGUAUAAACAUGCUAAGGUGUUAUAAUUUUAGGGGCAGUUUCCAGCAUUUCCUCCCGGGUAUUAUUACUUGCCACCUCCAAAGCAUUAGCUCUGAAGGCAUAACCUUUUCUUUUUUUUUCUUCUGAAAGAGACAGGGUCUCUUUGCAUUGCUCAAGCUGGAGUGCAGUAGCUAUUCACAGGCAUGAUCAUCAAGCACCACAGCCCCAAACUCCUGGGCUCAAGUGAUCUUCCUACCUCAGCAUAGCUGGGACAACAGGGUCAUGCCACUGCACCUAGCUGGCAUAGAAAUUUUUUUUUUUUGAGACACUGUCUCAUUCUGUUGCUCAGGCUGGAGUGCAGUGGCACACUGCAGCCUCAAUCUUUCGGGCUUAAGCAAUCUUCCCACCUCAGCCCCCUGAAUAGCGAGGACCACAGGCGUGCACCACUAUGCCCCGCUAAUUUUUGUAUUUUUUGUAGAGAUGGGUUUUGCCAUGUUGCCCGGCUGGUCUCAAACUCCUAGGCUCAAGCAGUCCACCCACCUCGGUCUCCUGAAGUGCUGGGAUUACAGGCACGAGCCACAGUGCUUGGCCAGCAUAGCCACUUUAAAAUGAAGUGUGGGUUAAGGAGUAAACUGGCAAGUUUGCCCCAAAUUCGAUUUCAUGAUGAUCUUGACAUCUACACAGUGGUGUCACUUAACAGGAGUAUGUUCUGAAAAACGCCUCGUUAGGCGACUUCAUCGUUGUGCAAAUAUCACAGGAUGUACUUACACAAGUACAUGGCAGAGCCUACUACACACCUAGGCUAUGUAGUAAAGCCUAUAUUCCUAGGCUACAAACACGUACAGCACGUUACCGUACUAACUACUGUAGGCAAUUUCAACAACACUAAAUAUUUGCUGAACACAAAAGAUACAGUAAAAAUCACUGCUGUAUAUGCAGUUCUUGCUACACGUAAACUGUUUAGCUAAAUAACAUUAAUUCCAGAGAAGGCAAAGCUUACCAAAUACAAAUUCUACAUGGGAGAGUGAUAGAGAUAUAAGGCAGAAUAAAACAUGCAAAAUUGCAGUCAGGCGCGGUGGCUCACACCUGUAAUCUCAGCACUUUGGGGGGCCAAGGUGGGCAGAUCACCUGAGGUCACAAGUUCAAGACCAGCCUGGCCAACAUGGCGAAACCCCAUCUCUACUAAAACUACAAAAAUUAGCCAUGCGCGGUGGAGGGCACCUGUAAUCCCAGCUACUCAGGAGGCUGAGGGAGGAGAAUCGUUUGAACCCGUGAGGUAGAGGCUGCAGUGAGCUGAGUUUGUGCCAUUGC
rnacentral:lncRNA from 1 species